rnacentral:lncRNA from 1 species
AAUUUUGGCAAGGAAAGGCACUUGGAAGCCAAUCAUCUGUAUUUUCUCAGGCCUGAUGUCCCUCUCCCGGUGCACGGCCCCGGCCGGCAGGAGGCAGCCCCCUGAGCCCCCUGUUGAUUUGUUCUGCCAGCGCUGAAUCAAUCCGACUGCGAUUUCAUUCUGUUGGUGGUGUUCUGAGUGCUUUCCUCAAAGCCCCCAACCCCACUGAGCUGCUGGGGAGUGCAGCUAUGGCAAUGGGUCCUCUUCAGCCCCCGAGGAUAAGUCCUGAUAGGAAGACCAGGACACAGCGAUGUCACACUCUGAGGCAGGUUGGGUUUUGUCUGCCAUUUUUUUAAAUCAUUUUGAGGCAGGAGUAAUAAAUGCUAAAGAUGCGCUCGGAAUUUGAAUAUGAAUGAUAAGAACAGCUGUGUAUAUCUAUUAUGAACGAAUAUAAACAGAAAUGUAUAAACUGAGAUUUUGGGGGCUUUGGGAAGAAUUAGUGUCUUUGUUCCUGGAUUUUUUUCCUAUCAGAGUUUGAACCAAAGCCCAUUAGCCCGGACUUUCCCGCAGCCGCCCCAGCCAGGAGCUUCAUUUCGCGCUGGCUCCGAGCCACGCUGAAUUCUCCUCAACAGCUCAGUGAGCCCUAAUCCUAACAAAUUUACCCAGAGAAGUGGUUCUCUUAUUACACUGCCUAAUUUGAACGCUUUCCAAGGUUAAUUUCUGCUCCCUCUCCCUCCAAACGCGCCUGCCCCCCCGCUCCCCGUUAGCGCCAGCCCGGGGGGAGCAGCCCCAGACCUUCCCCUCCUGGCCACGAUUGGUUUUAAAUGAGAAAAUAAUGCGAUGUUCGUCCCCGGGUGCAGGGUCUGCCCGCAGGGUUUCCUAAUGCUAAGCCACUUCCUUUGCAAAUUAAUUGCAACUUUUGCUGGGCAAAAAUAGCCCUGGAAGCCCAUUCCCCGCGGGCUCUUCUGCGUGUAAUACUACUCUGCUCAUAAUCUGAUUGCUGUGACUCUCAUUUCUUCUUUUCUCCUCUCCAUCCCGGGUGUAAUAGAGCCUGCAAGGGCUUUGCAGUACCUGUGGAGCAUCUUGGU